ACCUCGGUAGCUCAGUUGGACAGAGCACCCGCCUUCUAAGCGGGCGGUCGGCGGUUCGAAUCCGCCCCGAGGUG
rnacentral:tRNA from 1 species